AAUCAUUUUGUUAUGGUGGUAAAUGUAACCCAUUUCACACGAGUCUUGAUUUACAUCUUGUGUUUCUCUCUAAUGUAAUUUUUAAGGUGACUUUAUACAACACUAACCUCCGAUACGUUCAUACUUUAAACCUUGUCUUACAAAAAAUGCUCAAACUCGAAAAACAACUAAAAUGGUGUAAGUAAAAAAUAAAAAAGUGACAGACUAGAUAUAGACACAGAAGAAAACAGCACCCCUUAUGAAAUUUUAAAUGUUGCUGCAGCAUUGCCGCAGCGUUGCGGCUUUAAAGCUGCAACCUAAUCAGGUUGCCAGAGGAUUGUUGCCGGAGUAGUGCCGGAUGAUGCUGCUAGCGGCAUUGUUCUGGCAUCAUUGCGACACUAAUUCCUUUCAAAGUUAAUGAGCACCACAAUAUAGCCAGAAAAUUUGAUGAUGUCAUUUCCUGCGUUUUUAGCUAUUCCCUGUACUAGUGUGUUAGAAAUCCACCAUGUUGCUUGUGAUUAUAAUUGUAUUGAAGAAUUUGGUGUUCUAGCUGUUUUUUUUUGGAAGAUUUGAAGACUUGUAAGUAAACUCAUAUCAAGUAAUUGCAUGUAUAGAAAAGAUCAAUCUUGCAUUGUGUAUUUCAAUAAAAUGGCCUCAUCUGAGUUCACUAUACAUGUAUCGGUGAAGUUUGU
rnacentral:lncRNA from 1 species